AACGAACGCUGGCGGCAUGCCUAACACAUGCAAGUCGAACGAGAGCUUCGGGUCUAGUGGCGCACGGGUGCGUAACGCGUGGGAACCUGCCCUUAGGUUCGGAAUAACUCCCCGAAAGGGGUGCUAAUACCGGAUAAUGUCUUCGGACCAAAGAUUUAUUGCCUAUGGAUGGGCACGCGUUGGAUUAGCUAGUUGGUAGGGUAAAAGCCUACAAAGGCGACGAUCCAAAGCUGGUCGGGGUGGAUGGUCAGCCACACUGCGACUGAGACACGGCCCGAACCCCUCCGGAUGGCAGAAGUGGUGAAUAUGGAACACUGGGCGAAUGCCUAAGCCAUCAGUACCGCGAGAGUGUGUAAGUCGUUAGGGUUGUAAGGGUCUUUAACCGGGGAUAAUAAGAAGGUAACCAAGAAAAUAGGCACGGCUAAAUUCCUG
rnacentral:rRNA from 1 species